rnacentral:misc_RNA from 1 species
AGACUUUCUUCAGGGAGGCACACGUAUAACCGCCACUCCCCGUCACCUUGAUGCCCUCCAUCGCCGCCCUCGCGCGCACGCUGCACGGCGGCACCAACGUGUACAGGUCCCGCCUAGACUGCCUCAAGGUACUGCACGCCGUGGAACAGCCGCCGCCGCCGUGGUGGACGCCAGACUGCUCCGACUUUGUUCGCCAGGCAGAGUCGCUGAGCACGUCGGCGAGUUCCACUGCUGCCCGCAAAAACCCUGUCGUCGUUGUGGAGGGUUUGGAUGGCACUGGAAAGACACUCGUCACGCGCACGCUGGCGGAGAAGCUGUCGGGGGUGGCAAUAAGCACACCGCCGCCGCAGUUUGCCGAAAUCCGGAGCACCUUCCGAGGCCAGGAGGAGGCCGUGGCGAGAGCCUUCUACUCCGCUGCCAACUACAUCGCGGCCGCGAGCAUCCUGGCAGCGUCGCAGUCGUCAGUGGUCGUGGUCGACAGGUGGUGGUGCUCCACAUGCGCUAUGGCGCUGGCGAACGGUUGCUGCUAUGACAGUUUGCCGCCCAGCGGCGAUGCGGUGUACCGCUGGCCAGAAGACUUGCCAGCGCCGGAUGCCGGGUUUUUGCUGUGCGUCGAUGAGGCGGUGCGGGUGGCGCGUAUCCGCAGGCGUGCUCCUGAGGACGCAGAGGAGCGGCGCCUCUCUUCGCAGAGUGAGAUGCGCCGCGUCGCGAUGGAGGCGUACCGCCGCACCAAUAUGCUGACAGAGGUAGCCGCGCCGUCGUAUCGCGUUGCUGUGAACUCCAUCUUGCGACUCCUGUCUGAGAGCGGUGUGGCGCAUGGCGCCGCGCCCUUUGCGCAGGCGGAGCUCGAUAGCAUCGAGCCGUUUUAGGAGCCCGUUCCUGAGGCUGAGGAGAGGGGUGCGGGCUUGGUGUUUGCUCUUCCGCGUGUCCGUUUUCGCUGCCGCACACUGCGAGGUGGAGGCCGCUCUGCACCCCCCCGCCGCCGAGUGCUGCAGGCACCCCACCCCACUCUCAUCGCCUGGUGCGAAGCAGCGCAAGACACACGCGCGCUGCAGCAGUGCGCCGGCUCGGUCAUCGCAGCACGGCUCGUGCCUCAAACGCGACGACACCCACAUACACACACAUCGCCCCACAGCCGCCCCUCCAUCAUGCCGGUCGCCACUCCCCCCACCUCCUCCCUGGGUGCGUCUCCCCGUCGCGGUGACACUCAGGCCCCCGCACCCCUCGCCGUGGGCCAGUGUGAGGGGCCGGCUGCGACACGCUCGAGCCGCGCUGACACGCUCCGCCCAUCGCAUGGACGGUGCAAGCCUGUGCUCACUGUCGCGGGUGGCUCGGACGCAGCGCCAUGCACGACAUGGCCGCCGGCAUCCGUGGCGCUACGUCGCGCCGACCUCGCCCAACGCCGUAAGGGCCCAGCCCUGUCAGCACCAGAAGUGGUUCGGCGUUGGCAGGGAUAGAGGGUGAGGGGGCUGCCGGGCUUCCGCACACAGAGAGAGCGGGGGUGGAGGGGGGGCGCUGGACCCUGGGAUGCCACGCAUGGAGGUGCGUGCCCCCCGCCUCCCCCGCCAUCACGUGGAGGUGAAAGGGCGAGAGGUAACCAUGUGAGGAGGAACACUACGCCGCGGUUGUGCCCUGUGCGUGUGUGUCCACGUUGUCUUUCUCGUUAUGCGAGGACGACGUGACGGUGCUUCCCAAUUCCAUGCUCCUCACAGCAUCGCCUGUAGCUGCUCGCGUUCUUUGGCUUUCGCUCUCCCUCGGCGGAUCGGACGACGCCCCUGCCGGCACCUGCUGCUGUGCAAGCAGCAAGGCGGACUUUGACCCCUCCUUUAUCGGCCGCCCCCUCCCCGCGUCUUCCACACAACUUCCAUUGCAGAGGCAUCACAGAGUCUGACGUAAGGUAGAUGUGAACGACAGCGUGCACAAGAAGAGAG